GUCCUUCAGUGUAUAUGUUUGCCUUAUUGGUUGAAUAAAGUACUGUUGGCCAAUAGGGAAGCAAGUUAGGUGGGACUAGGAGUCGAGAAGGAUUCUGGGAAGUGUAGUAAAGAGAAGUCUUGUGAUCCAGACAGGAAGUGACAUAGCAGACAGAUUCAGAAUAUUAGCAGGGACAAGCAGGAAAUCGUGCUUUUCCUCCUCCUCUCUUCUCUGGGAGCCACCAUGUGAGCCAGACAAGAGAGGACAAAUGCCGCCAGCAUCCUCAAUUAGCAGUGUCCAGCACUACCCAUUGGACUGUCCAAAUCCCAGGACUUGGACUCACUUCUGGCAUCUUAAGAUAGAAACCUUCACAAGCCUCACUGCCAGUUUGUUUUCCUUCAUGAGUGGCUGA
rnacentral:lncRNA from 1 species